rnacentral:lncRNA from 1 species
CUGAGGCUGUAACUUCCCUUCCUCGGGGCUUUGGUUUCAGCUUGUGUCAAGUGAAGAAUUUGGAACCAGUUAUUCCUAAGGCUCUUUCUGGCUCUCACUGUCUAUGUUUCCAGCGCUCUGGACAAAAACAGGAGGAUUGGUUCUGGUUCCAACUCCAUGUCUUAUUUUUGGCUCAUCUCUUUUCUCUCUCCCUAAUUUUCUGCUCUUGUAAGUUGGGAUAAAGCGCAGAACAUUUGCAUAAAGCUUUGGGGUUUGAAGACUCCCUUUGUAUUAUCUUGUUUUCAGGUGCUGCUAUUAUCUGCCCACCCUAUCUUACAGUUGCUUUGCAGAUCAAAUGAGGUCAGGAAGAUACUUUGAUCAAGGAUGAUGAUGGAUACUUGUUAGUGGACAGAGAUCUCAACAAUCCAAACACUUUACCACGGCUCACAGUGACCUGCUUAAUCUGACCCCGGCACAUCAAUGUCCUCCCCCGGACUUGGUUCAGAUGAAAUAUCCUCCUGGACUCCUGGGGUCCCCAUGUCCUCCAGCCUGGGUAAAGUGUUCAUCCUGUAUGGCUCUGCCACCUGGUUGCAAGCAACGGACAGACUGGCUAAGCAAAGCAGAAAAAGAGAUUUAUCGGAAGGAUUGAAGAUGAACGUAAGAAAAUAAAAACUAAGAAGGAGCAAAAGGAGCAGGCAAGGAUCAAAGAAGCUCAUGAAUCCAGGAAGUAAGGACUGACAACAGCCCCUUCUUCACAGAGGGCUCUGGAAUUGGGAUGUGUCAACUGUGUCUGUUUUCAGCAUUUGUGUUACUCUGCUCAAGAGUCAAAUUCCAUGUCAAGACUCUGACU